rnacentral:rRNA from 1 species
GGCAAUGGGCGCAAGCCUGACCAAGCGACGCCGCGUGUGCGAUGAAGGCCUUCGGGUGUAAAGCACUGUCGAGGGGGACGAAGACCCGAAAGGGUUUGACCGAUCCCUGGAGGAAGCACGGGCUAAGUUCGUGCCAGGCAGCCGCGGUAAGACGAACCGUGCGAACGUUGUUCGGAAUCACUGGGCUUAAAGGGCGCGUAGGCGGUACUCCAAGUCAGGGGUGAAAUCCUGCGGCUUAACCGUAGAAGUGCCUUUGAUACUGGAGAUCUUGAGGGAGGUAGGGGUCCGUGGAACUUCUGGUGGAGCGGUGAAAUGCGUUGAUAUCAGAAGGAACGCCGGUGGCGAAAGCGACGGACUGGAUCUCUUCUGACGCUGAGGCGCGAAAGCUAGGGGAGCAAACGGGAUUAGAUACCCCGGUAGUCCUAGCCCUAAACGUUGGGUACUAGAUUGUAAACUAACAUGGGUCUACAGUCGAAGCAAAAGUGUUAAGUACCCCGCCUGGGGAGUAUGGUCGCAAGGCUG